ACCUGGAUGGCUCAGUUGGUUGAGCGCCUGACUUUGACUCAGGUCAUGAUCUCAUGGUCUGUGGGUUGGAGCUCCACGCCGGGCU
rnacentral:tRNA from 1 species